rnacentral:rRNA from 1 species
GUCCUUUUGAUUAUAAUUUAAGGUCUAACCUGCCCACUGAAAAUUUAAAGGGCCGCAGUAUUUUAACUGUGCAAAGGUAGCAUAAUAAUUAGUUUCUUAAUUAGAAGCUGGUAUGAAUGGUUGGACGAGAAAUUAGCUGUCUCAAUUUAUUGUUUAGAAUUUUAUUUUUAAGUCAAAAAGCUUAAAUAUAUUUAAAAGACGAGAAGACCCUAUAGAGUUUAAUAUUUAUAUAAAUUUUAUUUUUAGAAUUUAUCUUAUUUAUAUACAUAUUUUAUUGGGGUGAUAUAUAAAUUUAAUUAACUUUAUAUUUUUAUAAACAUUAAUAUAUGAAUAUUUGAUCCAUUAUUUAUGAUUAAAAGAAAAAAUUACCUUAGGGAUAACAGCGUUAUUUUUUUUUAGAGUUCUUAUCGAAAAAAAAGAUUGCGACCUCGAUGUUGGAUUAAAAUUAAUUUCUGGUGUAGAAGCUAGAAAAUUAGGUCUGUUCGACCUUUAAAAUUUUACAUGAUCUGA